CGCGGCGUUGUCGGGGGCGGCACCGAAGGACAGGUGCGGGGAGCGGGCCGGGAGGGGAAGGAGCGGGCGCUACGGCCCGGGAGACAGGAAUGCUUUGGGAAGAAGUUGGGAAAGCUCUGGCCCUGGCUAACAUCUGACCCAAGGAGCUGCCUCCAUGCAGCAAACAUUUUUCGAGUGCCGUAUUUGUGAAGUCCAGGAGAUGCUCGUUAUACGAUCAGCAAAGUGAAGACAGAGACCCUUUCUGAUGUGUCUGCAAAUACGCAGUGCUCCGUACACAGUAAAGACGAGGAAACUGCUGCUCAGAGCAAGGCUUCUCCACCCCAAGCUGCUGGAGAAGACCCCACAGUUGCGCGAAGGCCACAUCUGGGCCCUCAGCUCCAUCCCGUGGUCUUUAUAAACAGUCCAGCUGGGCCCCCUCUCUCAGUCCCUUCCCCACCUUUGCAGACCUUUGCCUGUCUCUGCAAGCAACACAGACACACCCUUCUCCUUUUCUCCGUGGGGGACCUUGCCUCCCACUCAUGGAGAAAGCAGAGGGGGGCGGGGAGAUUCUCAGAUUCCAGUCCCCUUCAACCUAUCAACUUAUCCACAGAAACGCCUCAAGUCCGCUGUGAAAUGAGGCAGUGUAAAAUAAACACAUGAUGAAGUCAA